rnacentral:rRNA from 1 species
GUAGUUGAACCUUGGGCCUGGCUGGCCGGUCCGCCUCACCGCGUGUACUGGUCCGGCCGGGCCUUUCCUUCUGGGGAGCCGCAUGCCCUUCACUGGGCGUGUCGGGGAACCAGGACUUUUACUUUGAAAAAAUUAGAGUGUUCAAAGCAGGCCUUUGCUCGAAUACAUUAGCAUGGAAUAAUAGAAUAGGACGUGUGGUUCUAUUUUGUUGGUUUCUAGGACCGCCGUAAUGAUUAAUAGGGAUAGUCGGGGGCAUCCGUAUUCAAUUGUCAGAGGUGAAAUUCUUGGAUUUAUUGAAGACGAACUACUGCGAAAGCAUUUGCCAAGGAUGUUUUCAUUAAUCAGUGAACGAAAGUUAGGGGAUCGAAGACGAUCAGAUACCGUCGUAGUCUUAACCAUAAACUAUGCCGACUAGGGAUCGGUGGAUGUUAUCUUUUUGACUCCAUCGGCACCUUACGAGAAAUCAAAGUUUUUGGGUUCUGGGGGGAGUAUGGUCGCAAGGCUGAAACUUA